rnacentral:rRNA from 1 species
UCGGGAAUUUUGGGCAAUGGGCGAAAGCCUGACCCAGCAACGCCGCGUGAAGGAUGGAGUAUUUCGGUAUGUAAACUUCGAAAGAAUAGGAAGAAUAAAUGACGGUACUAUUUAUAAGGUCCGGCUAACUACGUGCCAGCAGCCGCGGUAAUACGUAGGGACCAAGCGUUGUUCGGAUUUACUGGGCGUAAAGGGCGCGUAGGCGGCAAUUCAAGUCAUCUGUGAAAUCUCCGGGCUUAACUCGGAACGGUCAGAUGAUACUGCUUUGCUAGAGUGCAGAAGGGGCAAUCGGAAUUCUUGGUGUAGCGGUGAAAUGCGUAGAUAUCAAGAGGAACACCUGAGGUGAAGACGGGUUGCUGGGCUGGCACUGACGCUGAGGCGCGAAAGCCAGGGGAGCAAACGGGGAUUAGAUACCCUCGUAGUCCCUGAGCGGGCUGGCAAGGCGCAU